AGCUACUAAGAGCGAAUGGUGGAUGCCUUGACUGGUAAAGGCGAUGAAGGACGUACUAGACUGCGAUAAGCUACGGGGAGCUGUCAAGAAGCUUUGAUCCGUAGAUUUCCGAAUGGGGCAACCCAAUGUAUAGAGAUAUACAUUACCUAUAUAGGAGCGAACGAGGGGAAUUGAAACAUCUUAGUACCCUCAGGAAAAGAAAUCAAUAGAGAUUGCGUCAGUAGCGGCGAGCGAAAGCGCAAGAGGGCAAACCCAGUGCUUGCACUGGGGGUUGUAGGACUGCAAUGUGCAAGAGGUAAGUUUAGCAGAACAUUCUGGAAAGUAUAACCAUAGAGGGUGAUAGUCCCGUAUGCGAAAAACAAACCUUAGCUAGCAGUAUCCUGAGUAGGGCGGGACACGAGGAAUCCUGUCUGAAUCCGGGUCGACCACGAUCCAACCCUAAAUACUAAUACCAGAUCGAUAGUGCACAAGUACCGUGAGGGAAAGGUGAAAAGAACUGAGGUGAUCAGAGUGAAAUAGAACCUGAAACCAUUUGCUUACAAUCAUUCAGAGCCCUAUGUAGCAAUACAGGGUGAUGGACUGCCUUUUGCAUAAUGAGCCUGCGAGUUGUGGUGUCUGGCAAGGUUAAGCAAACGCGAAGCCGUAGCGAAAGCGAGUCUGAAUAGGGCGCUUAGUCAGAUGCUGCAGACCCGAAACGAAGUGAUCUAUCCAUGAGCAAGUUGAAGCUAGUGUAAGAACUAGUGGAGGACUGAACCCAUAGGCGUUGAAAAGCCCCGGGAUGACUUGUGGAUAGGGGUGAAAGGCCAAUCAAACUUCGUGAUAGCUGGUUCUCUCCGAAAUAUAUUUAGGUAUAGCGUUGUGUCGUAAUAUAAGGGGGUAGAGCACUGAAUGGGCUAGGGCAUACACCAAUGUACCAAACCCUAUCAAACUCCGAAUACCUUAUAUGUAAUCACAGCAGUCAGGCGGCGAGUGAUAAAAUCCGUCGUCAAGAGGGAAACAACCCAGACUACCAGCUAAGGUCCCUAAAUCUUACUUAAGUGGAAAACGAUGUGAAGUUACUUAAACAACCAGGAGGUUGGCUUAGAAGCAGCCAUCCUUUAAAGAAAGCGUAAUAGCUCACUGGUCUAGUGAUUUUGCGCGGAAAAUAUAACGGGGCUAAAGUAAGUACCGAAGCUGUAGACUUGCAAUUUAUUGCAAGUGGUAGGAGAGCGUUCUAUUUGCGUCGAAGGUAUACCGGUAAGGAGUGCUGGAGCGAAUAGAAGUGAGCAUGCAGGCAUGAGUAGCGAUAAUUAAUGUGAGAAUCAUUAACGCCGUAAACCCAAGGUUUCCUACGCGAUGCUCGUCAUCGUAGGGUUAGUCGGGUCCUAAGUCGAGUCCGAAAGGGGUAGACGAUGGCAAAUUGGUUAAUAUUCCAAUACCAACAUUAGUGUGCGAUGGAAGGACGCUUAGGGCUAAGGGGGCUAGCGGAUGGAAGUGCUAGUCUAAGGUCGUAGGAGGUUAUACAGGCAAAUCCGUAUAACAAUACUCCGAGAACUGAAAGGCUUUUUGAAGUCUUCGGAUGGAUAGAAGAACCCCUGAUGCCGUCGAGCCAAGAAAAGUUUCUAAGUUUAGCUAAUGUUGCCCGUACCGUAAACCGACACAGGUGGGUGGGAUGAGUAUUCUAAGGCGCGUGGAAGAACUCUCUUUAAGGAACUCUGCAAAAUAGCACCGUAUCUUCGGUAUAAGGUGUGGUUAGCUUUGUAUUAGGAUUUACUCCGAAAGCAAGGAAACUUACAACAAAGAGUCCCUCCCGACUGUUUACCAAAAACACAGCACUCUGCUAACUCGUAAGAGGAUGUAUAGGGUGUGACGCCUGCCCGGUGCUCGAAGGUUAAUUGAUGGGGUUAGCAUUAGCGAAGCUCUUGAUCGAAGCCCGAGUAAACGGCGGCCGUAACUAUAACGGUCCUAAGGUAGCGAAAUUCCUUGUCGGUUAAAUACCGACCUGCAUGAAUGGCGUAACGAGAUGGGAGCUGUCUCAAAGAGGGAUCCAGUGAAAUUGUAGUGGAGGUGAAAAUUCCUCCUACCCGCGGCAAGACGGAAAGACCCCGUGGACCUUUACUACAGCUUGACACUGCUACUUGGAUAAGAAUGUGCAGGAUAGGUGGGAGGCUUUGAGUAUAUGACGCCAGUUGUAUAUGAGCCAUUGUUGAGAUACCACUCUUUCUUAUUUGGGUAGCUAACCAGCUUGAGUUAUCCUCAAGUGGGACAAUGUCUGGUGGGUAGUUUGACUGGGGCGGUCGCCUCCCAAAUAAUAACGGAGGCUUACAAAGGUUGGCUCAGAACGGUUGGAAAUCGUUCGUAGAGUAUAAAGGUAUAAGCCAGCUUAACUGCAAGACAUACAAGUCAAGCAGAGACGAAAGUCGGUCUUAGUGAUCCGGUGGUUCUGUGUGGAAGGGCCAUCGCUCAAAGGAUAAAAGGUACCCCGGGGAUAACAGGCUGAUCUCCCCCAAGAGCUCACAUCGACGGGGAGGUUUGGCACCUCGAUGUCGGCUCAUCGCAUCCUGGGGCUGGAGCAGGUCCCAAGGGUAUGGCUGUUCGCCAUUUAAAGCGGUACGCGAGCUGGGUUCAGAACGUCGUGAGACAGUUCGGUCCCUAUCUGCCGUGGGCGUAAGAAGAUUGAAGAGAUUUGACCCUAGUACGAGAGGACCGGGUUGAACAAACCACUGGUGUAGCUGUUGUUCUGCCAAGAGCAUCGCAGCGUAGCUAAGUUUGGAAAGGAUAAACGCUGAAAGCAUCUAAGCGUGAAGCCAACUCUAAGAUGAAUCUUCUCUAAGCUCUCUAGAAGACUACUAGUUUGAUAGGCUGGGUGUGUAAUGGAUGAAAGUCCUUUAGCUGACCAGUACUAAUAGAGCGUUUGGCUUAUCUUUAAUAAAGCAU
rnacentral:rRNA from 1 species